CCCCUAAGAUGCUUCAAAUGCCAGAGAUUUGGCCACCACCAACAGGAAUGCACAGACAAACCCGUAUGUGGCGUAUGCAGUGGGAAGCACCCAACAAAGUUCUGCAUUGAUAGACAUAAAAGGAAAGAAGCAACUACAGCCAGAUGCCCCAACUGCUACAAAGGACACCAUGCACUGGUACAAAGGUUGCAUGGAGAGACUGCAAAGGAUCUGGAAGAUGAAAGGAACUCUUUCUCCUCCUCCCCCCCCCCACAGCACAGCAGCCACCAUUCAAAAGCAACAGCGACUGAAAACUUAACAAAAAGUUACUGGCUACAAUUUGAAGUUAAUCAUGCGCCAAGGACAGAAAUUAAAAGGAGGUCCAGGAGUAUAGAAUCUCUAUAAAGCUAAAUGAAAGAAACUUUCAUAUUAUCACCUUGAAAUACCUGCAUUUGGGUUUGUGCAUAUACAGUAGCGCAGGGGAAUGAGGAUUAGGGGGAUCAGGUUGCAUUGAAAUAACAGAAAAUUAAAUUUUUCUAGCACAAGGCACCACCAGACUAUCCCUUAAGAUGCCCAGGAACUACAGAGAUACGAGAACAUUGAGAUAUCUUGAAGUUCUAUGACAAGGAAGUAUUGCAGUUCAUCAAGAACACUUUUCAACGAGAACUAGCAAGAGACCCCACCUUGUGUAACAAAUGAAGGCUGAUAGAAAGGUCUCGGCGAAAAUAUCCGAUGGCGAGACACUUACUAUUGGUGGCUUUGGCCAUUAAAAAUAAUUGCUUAGUCUUCGGGUGAGAGCCGAACUGAAAUGACUUAAAAUCUUUUUGAUGUGAAGGCUCUAGUCUUGAUAUGGAAGGCAUUCCAAUCCAAGUAAUUGGAGAUCGCAGCAGAAAUAUUGGAUUACGAAGAAUUACUUUGUAAUAUCUGACAUCCUCAUAAGGCCAAAGAUCUUGUCGUAAUAUGGUGAAGUCAACUGGUUCCUCAUCUCUUCAGAAAAGUAGACAGCUUAUACAAGUACUACAAAUUAGACAAGUGGAAGACUCCAUACUCCCAUGAAAGUCCCACAAGAAUUUGCUGCAGAUUGAGAGAAUCUACUUCAAGAUACAACUAACCAAUUUUUAUCACAAUUGCAUCAGAUUUAUAAAAAGGCCCAGAUGUAGCGUUUAAACUUAAACAGUUGAUUAUGACUGAAAUAGAAAAAUGUUUGGAAUGAGUUGUACUUUCACAAUCGGGGAUAAUAUUAAAAUCUUAACCUCGUUGACUAUGAAAACUAAUAGAAUUUAAUUUAUAUUAAUUUGCAAGUGUCAGCUCAUCAGGGUCAUAACAGUACCUGCUGGCCCAAGGUUUAGUACAUAGAGUUCAGCUUUCCUUGUUAAAGUUUUUCGAGUGGGAACUACAGGAGUCUUUAUCAUACCAGUUAGUUGUCUAACAUUUUCAUCUACAAUUAUUUUGUUGAUAUCAGAUAUUAGGUGUAAUGUAAUACCUCGGGUUACAUAAUACUAAACAAUUUUCUUAUGUCAUAUCAGCUACUAGGCAGCCAUCUUUAUAUAUAUAUAUUAUGUCGAGAAGUUGGGUAUAUUUAAGGAGAGAGUUUUCCAUGAGCUAGCUUUAAAAUUACUCGGCAGGUUUCACCUAGAUCUCUGCCCUUUGAUUUCCAAUAUUUAUAUACAUACUAGGUUUUUCAAUGCAUACUUGCUUGGGUACAAAGGUUAUGUGAGAUUAAUACUAAUAUGUGAUGCUUAUUAUCUCCAGUAAUUUCAUGAAAUUUGUAAACAAUGGAAAGCCAGAACUUCAUUAAUGACAAAGAAUGGGUAACUUUGAUUUUAUUAAAAAUAUUCGUGGUAGUCAGUAUAAUUGAAAAUAGCUGUAUGGAGUAAAAAGUGUCACGUAUUAACUUUUACAGAAAGGGUGAUAUUUGUUGUAAAUAAUAAAAAUUUCUUUAUAUUUUUUUCAGUCCGUAUUAUAGAUAGUUAAGCUAGCUUCCAUCACAAUAGGGACUUGUGGUAGUGU